CGGAGCUAACGCGUUAAGUCGACCGCCUGGGGAGUACGGCCGCAAGGUUAAAACUCAAAUGAAUUGACGGGGGCCCGCACAAGCGGUGGAGCAUGUGGUUUAAUUCGAUGCAACGCGAAGAACCUUACCUGGCCUUGACAUCCAGAGAACUUAGCAGAGAUGCUUUGGUGCCUUCGGGAACUCUGAGACAGGUGCUGCAUGGCUGUCGUCAGCUCGUGUUGUGAAAUGUUGGGUUAAGUCCCGCAACGAGCGCAACCCUUAUCCUUUGUUGCCAGCGGCUCGGCCGGGAACUCAAAGGAGACUGCCGGUGAUAAACCGGAGGAAGGUGGGGAUGACGUCAAGUCAUCAUGGCCCUUACGGCCAGGGCUACACACGUGCUACAAUGGCGCAUACAAAGAGAAGCGACCUCGCGAGAGCAAGCGGACCUCAUAAAGUGCGUCGUAGUCCGGAUUGGAGUCUGCAACUCGACUCCAUGAAGUCGGAAUCGCUAGUAAUCGUAGAUCAGAAUGCUACGGUGAAUACGUUCCCGGGCCUUGUACACACCGCCCGUCACACCAUGGGAGUGGGUUGCAAAAGAAGUAGGUAGCUUAA
rnacentral:rRNA from 1 species